rnacentral:lncRNA from 1 species
AGCUAGAUGUUGCUGGGGCCGCUGUGAGCCAAUCAUCAGCUGGCAGCUGGAAGUUUGCUGGCAGCUGGAAGUUUGCUGGGGCCCCUUGGCUGUGGCUCUCAACAUAUGGGUAAGAAUCCUGGCUCCAGCACUUAUUCCCUGUAUGACCUUGGGCAACUCAUUUAACUUCUUAGCAUCAUUUUCAACAAAAGGGCCAAGUUACCUCUUCCAUUAUCCAGUAUUAUGCAUUAAGAGGCUAACCAAAUAUGACUUCUAGCUCCUUCUAUUAAAGAUUGUUUUUACUUUUGUUUUAAGAGGACUUUUUAGGCAACAAUUCCACUAAAUGCUUUAAUCAAUUAACCAAUAUUGGAAAUUCUAUUAAUAUUCGAGAGAAAUAGCACUAAUCAUCAUUUAUUUCAAUUACUCAGUUACAUCAUUAAACAUAAUAAAGGAAAAUAAAGACCAUCCAGGAAGUUAUUCAUUAUUUCUAAAAAUUAGUUGACAAAAGUAUUCAUUUUUGGUGGGAUAAGCUGGUGCUAUAUUGAGAAAGUUGAGUCCUUAAGUGCUCACAAUGAAGAUAAAAGAUGUGAGUGGAAUCACUCAGCCAAAUUGGCCUCUCUUUUUUUGUUACAAAGAUAUGCAGAAAGCUUUGAAAACUCUCAUGCCAAUGUAUAAAGAUGCAUGGAAGAAAUUUUAUCAUCAUGGGAUAGAUAUAAGAGAGGUUGUGUAUUAGUCAGGGUUCUCUAAAGGAACAUAACCAACAGA